rnacentral:rRNA from 1 species
GUAGUCCGCUACGAGCGCACCCUUGUCCUUAGUUGCCAGCACGUUAUGGUGGGCACUCUAAGGAGACUGCCGGUGACAAACCGGAGGAAGGUGGGGAUGACGUCAAGUCAUCAUGGCCCUUACGGCCAGGGCUACACACGUGCUACAAUGGUCGGUACAGAGGGUUGCCAACCCGCGAGGUGGAGCUAAUCCCAUAAAACCGAUCGUAGUCCGGAUUGGAGUCUGCAACUCGACUCCAUGAAGUCGGAAUCGCUAGUAAUCGUGGAUCAGAAUGCCACGGUGAAUACGUUCCCGGGCCUU